AAGCUGAGCAACCUGGAUAUUCUCCGACACGUGGUGUUUUAAAGUGACCGCUCCAAGUGCAGAAGGAGCCGGACGCCCCUGCAUGAACUGCCUGCCGUCCUCACCCCUCUUUGGGGUCACCAUCAUCCUAGGAUGAAGGGGGGGACUGUUUCUAGGAAACAGGUAAACCAAGGAAAGAUGGAUGGACCCACUGUUUCACCAGGAGCUGUUCACUAUUCCAGAAAAUUGCAUCACCAAGGCGACACUGCUGGCGGCGUCUGAGUUGCCAAAACAACACACCUAUGUCCUUCUGCGUGCAAAGCCCUCUGUCUUGCAGCAAUUCUAUGUUUCGGUUGCAAAGAGCUGACUACUGCUGGAGCCAGGCCACAGGGCUGAGGUUCAAUGGCAGGCCACCCCUUCCGCUUUGGGAGUGCUCUGUCUCUUCUACGUUAUAGUGAGGAUAUCAAAUGGAUGGGAAAAGUAGCAAGUGUGGGUGCGGAGAGGAAGCCAGUAGAGGGAGAGCAUGCAGCCGGGAGCCCAGCUUGUCUGCUCUUCUCACAGCCUUGGCAUGAGCCUCAUGCCCCAGUGUACUCGGGCCUCUAGCCUGCUGGGUAACCUCAGGACACCCCCACCCCAGCCUCUGCCUCAUCACACAUGAAAUCUGGGUCAUGAACAU